ensembl:lncRNA
AAAAGCGUUAAAAAGGGCGGGAAACAUGGGGGAGGGGUGUUAUAAAUGGCGGGAAACUUGUAGAGGACCGUUAAAAUGGCGGGAAACGUGAGGAAAAGCAUUAAAAAGGGCGGGAAACAUGGGGGCGGGGGUUAAAAAUGGCGGGAAACUUGUGGAGGACCAUUAAAAAUGGCGGGAAACGCGGGAGGGGAGUUAAAAAUGGCGGGAAACUUGUAGAGGACCGUUAGAAAUGUUGGGAAACGCGAGGAAAACCGUUAAAAAGGGCAGGAAAUGGGGGGGAGGAGGGGUUAAAAAUGGCAGGAAACUUGUAGAGGACCGUUAAAAAGGGCGGGAAACGUGAGGAAAACCGUUAGAAAGGGUGGGAAACAUGGGGGAGGGGUGUUAAAAAAGGCGGGAAACUUUUAGAGGACCUUUAAAAAUGGCGGGAAACGCGGGAGGGGGGUUAAAAAUGGCAGGAAACUUCUGGAGGACCGUUAAAAAUGGCGGGAAACGCAGCCACGAUGUCGGCGCAGGCGCAGGUUCAGGCGCAGGGCCGGGCGCUGGAGGAUCGGCUGCUGCGGGUGCCGGGCCACGAGCUCCUGGCGGGGCUGCGGGAAGCCGGGGCGCUGGGGCCCACCGAGGAGGCGGCGCUGGGACCCCCGGGAGGCCGGGGCUGGGUCCGCCGGCUGCGGGCGCUGGCGCUGGCUCGCGGCGAGGAAAGCUGCCGGGCGCUGCUCUACGUCCUGGCCAGCCUGGAGGAGCCGGGGCCGCUGGGUGAGUUCCCCUUUCCCCUAUAGAUCGCCCUAUAGGCGGUCCUAUAGGUCGCUCCAUGGGUGUUUUGUGUCCUCCGUAGAUUUCUACAACCCCCGGCGCGACGCUCAGCCGUCGCACCGCUCCGAUUGUCCCUGCUGUCACCCGCCGCGGGAGGACGGAGGCCCCAAAGAGGAAGACGGAGGCCCAAAAGAGGAGGAUGGAGGCCCCAAGGAUGAGGACGGAGGCCCCAAGGACGAGGAAGGCCCCGAAGAGGAGGAGGAGAAGGGUGAAGAGGAAGGCGGAGGCCUCGAAGAGGAAGAAGGAGCCCCCGAGGAGGAGGAAGGUGAUGAAGAUGGAGGCUCCGAGGAGGAAGGUGAUGGUGAGGAGGGAGAUGGAGACCUGGAGGAGGAAGUCGGGGGCUCCGAGGAGGACGGGGACGCCGGGGGGGAAGAUGGAGGCCCUGAGGAGGAGGACGCGGGAGGCGACACCGAGUAGGAAAGAGGGGAGGGGGGGAGGCGGAGGCCCGGAGGAGGAGGAGGAUGGUGACGAAGACGGAGGCGCCGAGGAGGACGGAGACUCCUGAGGAUGGUGAUGGUGGGGAGGAAGAUGGAGACCUAGAGGAAGAGGAUGGUGAUGGAGGCCCCCGAGGAGGAAGAUGGAGGCCCCCGAGGAAGAAGAUGGAGGCCCCGAGGACGAAGAUGGGGAUGAAGACCCCUGAGGAGGAGGCCGGGGGUCCCCAAGGAAGAGGCUGGAGACCCCAUGGCGGAGGAUGAUGAUGCCGAAGGGGAAGAUGAAGGCCCCGAGGAGGAGGAAGGUGAGGGCGAGGCCGGAGGAAGGAACCCGGGGGCCGGAGAUGAUGCUGAGGAGGAAGAUGAUGAAGAGGAAGGCGACGCCAAGAGGGGAAGGGAGACCCCGAGGACGAGGAAGGUGAUGGUGAGGAGGAGGAAGAUGACCCUGGAGCCUCCGAAGAGGAGGACGGGGAUGAAGGUGGAGGCCCUGAGGAGGAAGACGAUGGUGAGGAGGAAGAUGAAGGCCCCGAGGAAGAAGAUGGAGGCCCCGAGGAGGAAGAGGAUGGAUUUAGGGUGAGAAACGAGCC